AUUGAACGCUGGCGGCAUGCCUAACACAUGCCAGUCGAGCGGAGCGGCGGACGGGUGAGUAAUGCCUAGGAAUCUGCCUGGUAGUGGGGGAUAACGUCCGGACACGGGCGCUAAUACCGCAUACUAUCAGAUGAGCCUAGGUCGGAUUAGCUAGCUGGUGGGGUAAAGGCCUACCAAGGCGACGAUCCGUACCUGGUCUGAGAGGAUUAUCAGUGACACUGGAAUGUAGACACGGUCCAGACUCCUACGGGAGGCAGCAGUGGGGAAUAUUGGACAAUGGGCGAAAGCCUGAUCCAGCCAUGUCGCGUGUGUGAAGAAGAACUUCGGAUUGUAAAGUACUUUCAGCGGGGAGGCGUUACCCGCAGAAGAAGCACCGGCUAACUCCGUGCCAGCAGCCGCGGUAAUUC
rnacentral:rRNA from 1 species